CCUACGGGAGGCAGCAGUGGGGAAUAUUGGGCAAUGGGCGCAAGCCUGACCCAGCAACGCCGCGUGAAGGAAGAAGGCUCUCGGGUUGUAAACUUCUUUUAUCAGGGACGAAGCAAGUGACGGUACCUGAUGAAUAAGCCACGGCUAACUACGUGCCAGCAGCCGCGGUAAUACGUAGGUGGCAAGCGUUAUCCGGCUUUACUUGGUGUAAAGGGCGUGUAGGCGGGAAAGCAAGUCAGAUGUGAAAACCAUGGGCUCAACCUGUGGCCUGCAUUUGAAACUGUUUUUCUUGAGUACUGGAGAGGCAGCCGGAAUUCCUAGUGUAGCGGUGAAAUGCGUAGAUAUUAGGAGGCACACCAGUGGCGAAGGCGGUCUGCUGGACAGCACCUGACGCUGAGGCGCGAAAGCGUGGGGAGCAAACAGGAUUAGAUACCCUGGUAGUC
rnacentral:rRNA from 1 species